GUUAUUCUUUUUUCCAGCAGAAAAGUGUCAGAGUGAUGUAUGCUCAGGGGAUCUUUGCCCUAUUUCCCUAUCUGGAGGACCAAAACAUGGAUAUGAGCAUUACUAUGAUCCAGAGAGCGUUCAGGAUACCUUGCUUGGCGUUUAAAGACUAUUCAAAGAAAAACUGCAGAGGAAAGGGGUGCCUCAGGUAGCAAAUCUCCCAAAAGUGGUGGACCAGGCCAUGGUCAAUCCAGGGUUUUCACUGCUGACAAAGUGCUGUCAGAUGAGGAAGUGGAAGCAGCUAUUGCUGUUUUGAAACACUCUGCUGAUGAUGACACUGUCCGUGAGAAGAUGAAGGCUACCUUCCAUUACCGUCAUUCAAUGGUCAAUGAUGAAAAGAAAGCAGCAGAUGUCUUCUCUGUCUUUCCAAGAUUUCUGGAGACACCAGGACUGAUAGAACAAGAUUUCAGACUCCUGUUUGGCGAAGGCACUGCCAAUAAAGUUUUGGAGAAGUGGCCCACCAGUCUCAAAUCCAAGGUUAUAAAGGAAAGCCAUGGCCUGGUACCCACCACUGAGCUCUUGGAUUUAU